rnacentral:rRNA from 1 species
AGCGAACGCUGGCGGCAGGCCUAACACAUGCAAGUCGAACGAACUCUUCGGAGUUAGUGGCGGACGGGUGAGUAACACGUGGGAACGUGCCUUUUGGUUCGGAAUAACUCAGGGAAACUUGUGCUAAUACCGAAUGUGCCCUUCGGGGGAAAGAUUUAUCGCCAUUAGAGCGGCCCGCGUCUGAUUAGCUAGUUGGUGAGGUAACGGCUCACCAAGGCGACGAUCAGUAGCUGGUCUGAGAGGAUGACCAGCCACACUGGGACUGAGACACGGCCCAGACUCCUACGGGAGGCAGCAGUGGGGAAUCUUGCGCAAUGGGCGAAAGCCUGACGCAGCCAUGCCGCGUGAAUGAUGAAGGUCUUAGGAUUGUAAAAUUCUUUCCCCGGGGACGAUAAUGACGGUACCCGGAGAAGAAGCCCCGGCUAACUUCGUG